UCCGAAUUAGUGUAGGGGUUAACAUAACUCGCUUUCAAACAUCUCCCGCUUCUAGCAUCUGAUCAUUGAACCGAGUAGCCCCGGGUUCGAUUCCCGGAUUCGGAA
rnacentral:tRNA from 1 species